rnacentral:lncRNA from 1 species
ACUUUAAAACUCAUUGAACUUUUUAGUCAGGUUGGUGAUACUCUAAUUUGUAACAUUAGAACAUAGCAUAUGUAGUGUAUAUAGGCUAUAUUUUUAUAUGUAAAUGUUAUCUAAGUAUUUUUGUUGCUUACAUCAUUGACGAGUCAUCAAGUACAAUCCUAAAAAUAUAUCAGAAGCUUUAUUUUGGUACAAAUUCAUAAGAAAACUUUUUAAAAACAUAUGCAUUAAAUAUCACCAAUAAUUGUGACACUUUUUAUCUCAGUCAGUUAUGUUGAGACUUUAGUCAUGUGGGGGAACAUGGAAGAAGUUAAAAGAAAAGUAAUUGUCGUUGGACUAAUGUCAUAUCGAAUCCAAGUAAAUUAAGUGGGUUUUUUUUAAUGUAUAACUUGGUAGAAAGUGACUUGAAAAUCAUUAUUUAUUAGAAGGCACUGCUAGGUUUUUUUCAGCUGUCUUCAGGUAAUAUUUCUAGUCUGUGUGAAAUUUUAUUUUUAAACUUUUGCCUUUGUUUAUUCUCUUUAUGGAAUUUAUCAAAUUCAGUGACGUUUCAAAUGGUUGAUCAUAGCAAUAUAUAAAUUUUAAAUCCAGUGCCCAAAAGUUGAGUCCAUUAUCAACCAGCCUUCCUUAUUCAUUGAGUGCUGAAUCGACAUUCAGGAUUCAUUUCACUAAAUUAUCAAUACUUGAAAUAUACAAGAGAAAAGUUAAAUCCAGAAAGAAAGAGCAGCGAAGAAGGGAAAGAGUAGUUUUAAUGAUUAAUAAGAAACACUAUGUGGGAGUUCCCUUCAUGGCUCAGUCGGUUAAUGAACCCGACUAGGAUCCACGAGGAUGCGGGUUUGAUCCCUGGCCUCACUCAGUGGGUUAAGGAUCUGACGUUGCCAUGAGCUGUGGUGUAGGUUGCAGACAUGGCUCAGAUCCUGCAUGGCUGUGGCAGGCAGCUGGAGCUCCAAUUCAACCUCUAGCCUGGAAACUUCCGUGUGCUGCAGGUGCGGCCCUCAAAAGCUAAAAAAGAAAAAGAAACACUAUGUAGAUAUAAAAAUGCACCCUUAUUUAUUUAAGAUUCUUGAUGAGGUAUUUUAUUUGCAAAAAAAUCAGGCAGUAUUUUUUCCCUGAAAAUUUAGUUUUAAUGUGUGUCAUAACAUUUUCUGAAGAUUCUCAGAGAAGAUAUUUCAAUUAAACCAGCUGUGGAUUUUAUUUGGGGGCCUGGAAAAAUGAGAAUGAUUGCACCUGUCAGCUGUUGUAUCUGUUACAUUUGGUCCAUGACCAGCAUUUCACCAGCCACCACAGUCAAGUUCCCUGUUCUCUGAAAGCUAUUCAGGUGCCUAAGAAUCUUUUCAUCUGCAGGUGUGGGGGAGGGAAGGGGAGCUUUGAUUCCUCUGAUGAGCUCUGGGCUAUGUCAGUCAUCCCUGUUCUCUGACAGCCAGAAGGAUUUCUCCAGCUUCAGAGUCAACUUGUCAAACACUGGCUCUGAUAUUUUUAAUUUUGAAUCACAGGGUCUUCAUUUCCCCACACGGCCAGAUUUCUCCAUAAUUGAAGUUAAAUAAGAACUAGUUUUGUCUUAGUUAAAGACCAAUUUGUAUGGUGUUACCAAAUGAAAAAGUACUAUAUUAGCAAAAGCCACAUUAUAUUUUGAUUCUGUCCUCCCCGGAUUCUCCUUUAUUAAAACAAUUUCUGCCUCUUGUCUAGGUUAACUCAACAUUCUUAUUAGCAUUGUAUAUGUAGUGUGCAUGUUGUACAUGCCUUCGUGUGGCCCAAUUUCACUCAGUAUUUUUGCCAUAGUUACAGACUAGCUCUCUGACUUCAAAGUACUGCACAGACGUCAGUUAGGAUGUUCAUGGAAGUUCCCCAUGGAUGUCCUGUCCACCUGGGGCAGAGCACAGGCUUUCUCUAGCAUACCUGGGGCGAAUCUUCUGGGAAUCUUCUGGGACUGACAUGCCGGAGAUGGCAGUACAGCAUCUGAGUAGUACCUUUUUUUUUUUUUUUUUAACUAAUAACAUGUCCCCUCCUCUUUCUUUAUUAAAAGGGAGAAGAUACAUAAUAAAACUAAUGGAUAAUAAAUAAAAUUAUUUAAAUGAUACCAGUGGCUCAAAGAAUAUUUUCUGUUGAGAAAAUAAUUUGGUAAAAAUAUAGACCAUUGAUACUAUGAUUUUUUUUUAAAUGAAUAUUUUGAUCUUUGGGGCUCAACGAACUUCCCCUUCAUAAGAAAAUUUGAGAGACUUUGAUCUAAAAGACAAAGCAAGAUAUUUCUUAAUAUUAGAUGGCUGACUGUAAUUGUUAACCUUUUGUCAGUAUGUUUAACCGUGAGUAAUCUUAUUUAUGCCACUAGUGCUCAGGAGAUUAAACAUCUUUCUGAAAGUGGUUUUGACCUAGGAGAUAAGAAAACAUGCUUUAGAAAUGCUGUUUAGGAGUUCCUACUGUGGUUCAGUGGUAAUGAACCCGACUAGGAUCCAUGAGCAUGUGGGUUCCGGUUCCAUCCCUGGCCUUGCUCAGUGGGUUAAUGAUCCAGUGUUGCCACAGGUGGUGGUUUAGGUUGCAGAUGCAGCUCGGAUCCCGAGUUGCUAUGGCUGUGGUGUAGGCCAACAGCUCCAGCUCCAAUUCGACCCUUGGCCUGGGACCCUCCAUAUGCAGCAGGUGUGGCCCUAAAAAGACCAAAAAAAAAAAAAAAAAAAGAAAGAAAGAAAUGCUGUUUAUUGCCCUACAAUAAAAUGAAAUGUCACUCUCAUUCUUUACAUUUUAUGUCAAAAGUAAUUCUUAGGCACACACAUAAACCCACACUCCAGUAAUUUAGUACUGAUACUGAUUUAUCAUUUAAGUUGGUUCCAGAAAGAUGAUGUGUUGAAAGAUCACUCUGAAAGUUAUUCCAUUGGAGUUUUCUUGAUAACAAAUAGGGAAAUACAUGUUUGUACCAUGAAUAAAUUAAGCUGUGGAUUUUUGUUUUUCAAAAUGAUGUUGUUUGUUUGAGUGAAAACUACAUAUCAGUGCACUUGAGUCAAAUCUUUUUAUUUUAACUUAUUUUUCUUUAUAAUAUGAAAAGAUGUUUUAAAGUACUGUAACUUCUGAAUUUUCAAUAAAAUAUUAUUUUGCUUG